GGGUCGGUUCGGCCGGGUUUCACACAGGUGUUGCAUGGCUGUCGUCAGCUCGUGUCGUGAGAUGUUGGGUUAAGUCCCGCAACGAGCGCAACCCUCAUCCUUAGUUACCAUCAGGUAAUGCUGRGGACUUUAAGGAAACUGCCAGUGAUAAGCUGGAGGAAGGUGGGGAUGAUGUCAAGUCAUCAUGGCCYUUAUGGAGUGGGCUACACACGUGCUACAAUGGUGKCUACAAUGGGCUGCAARGUNCGCRAGSCUAAGCUAAUCCCNUAAAAGMCAUCUCAGUUCGGAUUGUACUCUGCAACUCGAGURCAUGAAGUUGGAAUCGCUAGUAAUCGUGGAUCAGCAYGCCACGGUGAAUACGUUCUCGGGUCUUGUACACACUGCCCGUCACGCCAUGG
rnacentral:rRNA from 1 species